rnacentral:rRNA from 1 species
AGCAGCCGCGGUAAUUCCAGCUCCAAUAGCGUAUAUUAAAGUUGUUGCAGUUAAAAAGCUCGUAGUUGAAUUUCGGGGUUAGUAGGUUGGUCAUGCCUCUGGUAUGUACUGGUCUCACUGAUUCCUCCUUCCUGAUGAGCCGUAAUGCCAUUAAUUUGGUGUUGCGGGGAAUUUGGACUGUUACUUUGAAAAAUUAGAGUGUUUAAAGCAGGCUAACGCUUGAAUAUAUUAGCAUGGAAUAAUGAAAUAGGACGUUCGAUCUUAUUUUGUUGGUUUCUAAGAUUGACGUGGUGAUUAAUAGGGAUAGUUGGGGGCAUUAGUAUUCAAUUGUCAGAGGUGAAAUUCUUGGAUUUAUUGAAGACUAACUACUGCGAAAGCAUUUGCCAAGGAUGUUUUCAUUAAUCAAGAACGAAAGUUAGGGGAUCGAAGACGAUCAGAUACCGUCGUAGUCUUAACCAUAAACUAUGCCGACUAGGGAUCGGAUGAUGUUAAUUUUUUAAUGUACUCA